AGUAGGGAAUCUUCCGCAAUGGACGAAAGUCUGACGGAGCAACGCCGCGUGAGUGAUGAAGGUUUUCGGAUCGUAAAGCUCUGUUGUUAGGGAAGAACAAGUGCCGUUCAAAUAGGGCGGCACCUUGACGGUACCUAACCAGAAAGCCACGGCUAACUACGUGCCAGCAGCCGCGGUAAUACGUAGGUGGCAAGCGUUGUCCGGAAUUAUUGGGCGUAAAGGGCUCGCAGGCGGUUUCUUAAGUCUGAUGUGAAAGCCCCCGGCUCAGCCGGGGAGGGUCAUUGGAAACUGGGGAACUUGAGUGCAGAAGAGGAGAGUGGAAUUCCACGUGUAGCGGUGAAAUGCGUAGAGAUGUGGAGGAACACCAGUGGCGAAGGCGACUCUCUGGUCUGUAACUGACGCUGAGGAGCGAAAGCGUGGGGAGCGAAGAGGAUUAGAUACCCUGGUAGUCCACGCCGUAAACGAUGAGUGCUAAGUGUUAGGGGGUUUCCGCCCCUUA
rnacentral:rRNA from 1 species